GUUUUCUAAGCGUUUACUGGACUGUGUUGCUUUCGGAAGCAGGAAAACAAAGGCUGGCUCCUCCCCUUCCAAAUGAGUCACUCGCUCUCGGGUGAUAAUAAAGAUUUGUCAUUCUUCAUGAUGCGGACACAUCCGUCUCCAGGGUAUCUGCAAGAGGUCCGGGACAUUUCUCUCGCUUCACUCCACUUCUCACAGACUGCGGUUUCUAACACCGUAUCACCUUGGGGGGCAGACCCAAAGAUGCUGGAGCGACCUAAACAAACGCGCACCAGCAGACUGCAGAGAAUCGAAAUCGUUUCUCUCUGGCUGGGAGGAGUAACAGUUCGAAAAACGGCCCAGUUGACUGGAACCUGUACUGGAACCGUCAACAGAUGGAUUCGCCGCUGGAUCGAGGAACGGCAGAUCCAGGAGAAAAUGAAUCGUCUGAUUUGGUUACACGCCCAACAUGAAAACUUCCAGGCGUGAUUCAUUAUAUCCGAGAAGCUUGGCAACACUACCAGUAUCACCAACACCUCUUCUGACAAUGACAGAAGUUAUUGGUCUUCGCAAUUACAGGAUAAGGAGUGAUUUAUUGAACAAAUAGCCAGUGAACUGUCCACAUCCGAUACAAUUAAUCGGUCAUCCUCUCUCUCAAUACCCGGAACACUAAACAAUGAUGGAUUUACCAUAAAUUUGAAUUUGAGAAAGAUCGUUAUCACUAACCCAAAAAUGGAGUCAAAACAGAUUCCUUAAAACAAUUCAAGAUUUGACGUAUUGUGUACUGUCUAAUGAUUCAGUGUACGAGACUAAUGAAAAAUAAAAAAAAUGUCUAAA